GGGUAAGCGGGGAGCAGCACGCGCGGUAGUACGGAAGGUGGAAGAGUUAAACGGGGUUACUGGGGGUAAAGGGGGGGUAGGAGGUUAGUUAAGAUUGAUGUGAAAUCCCUGGGCUUAACCGAGGAAGGGCAGUGAUGACUGGAUAGCUGGAGUACUGUAGAGGGUAGCGGAAUUUCCGGUGUAGCGGUGAAAUGCGUAGAGAUCGGAAGGAACACCAGUGGCGAAGGCGGCUACCUGGACAGAUACUGACGCUGAGGCGCGAGAGCGUGGGGAGCAAACAGGAUUAGAUACCCCGGUAGC
rnacentral:rRNA from 1 species